ensembl:lncRNA
AGUGCAGUGUUUAAAACAUUGCCUUGGAAAUUAGGACAGUUGUGGUCAGUUCUAUGCUCUGCAAGACUUUUUUUUCUGGCAGCACUUUGUAAAAUAAGAGUAGUAGUACUCCCCUUCCAUGCUCGGUGUGAUGGCACUUGGAAGAAGAGAAACCACUGUGGAUAUCAACCAUUUGUUCCAUGGCUGCUCCUGUGACUCUUGGGGUGCCAGUGAUUGUAGCAGACUACCUCUAGAUCCAGAUUUCCUCCCCAUCUACUGAUAAGAGGGACGUUCAUACAAGAACUCUAACUUGUGCCAUUAUUGACUGCACCAUUAG